rnacentral:rRNA from 1 species
UACGUAGGGUGCGAGCGUUGUCCGGAAUUAUUGGGCGUAAAGAGCUCGUAGGCGGUGUGUCGCGUCGGCCGUGAAAACCUGGGGCUCAACUCUGGGCGUGCGGUCGAUACGGGCAUCACUUGAGUUCGGCAGGGGAGACUGGAAUUCCUGGUGUAGCGGUGAAAUGCGCAGAUAUCAGGAGGAACACCGGUGGCGAAGGCGGGUCUCUGGGCCGAUACUGACGCUGAGACGCGAAAGCGUGGGGAGCGAACAGG